rnacentral:rRNA from 1 species
UGGGGAAUAUUGCACAAUGGGCGAAAGCCUGAUGCAGCGACGCCGCGUGAGUGAAGAAGUAUUUCGGUAUGUAAAGCUCUAUCAGCAGGGAAGAAAAUGACGGUACCUGACUAAGAAGCCCCGGCUAACUACGUGCCAGCAGCCGCGGUAAUACGUAGGGGGCAAGCGUUAUCCGGAUUUACUGGGUGUAAAGGGAGCGUAGACGGCGAAGCAAGUCUGAAGUGAAAACCCAGGGCUCAACCCUGGGACUGCUUUGGAAACUGUUUUGCUAGAGUGUCGGAGAGGUAAGUGGAAUUCCUAGUGUAGCGGUGAAAUGCGUAGAUAUUAGGAGGAACACCAGUGGCGAAGGCGGCUUACUGGACGAUAACUGACGUUGAGGCUCGUAAGCGUGGGGAGCAAACAGG